GAUAAGAACGUAGCGAAAUGCGAUACUUGGUGUGAAUUGCAGAAUCCCGUGAACCAUCGAGUCUUUGAACGCAAGUUGCGCCCGAAGCCAUUAGGCCGAGGGCACGCCUGCCUGGGCGUCACACGUCGUUGCCCCCCCAUCUACUCCUUCGGGAUUGCGGGGGGCGGAUGAUGGCCUCCCGUGCGCCUCGUCGCGCGGUUGGCAUAAAUGCCAAGUCCUCGGCGACGCACGCCACGACAAUCGGUGGUUGCGAAACCUCGGUUGCCCGUCGUGUGCGGUCGUCGCGCAUCGAGGGCUCGAAAAAAUUGCCGGGCUCCGGCUCGGCUUUCAACGCGACCCCAGGUCAGGCGGGGUUACCCGCUGAAUUUAAGCAUAUCAAUAAGCGGAGGA
rnacentral:misc_RNA from 1 species